rnacentral:rRNA from 1 species
GACGAACGCUGGCGGCGUGCUUAACACAUGCAAGUCGAACGAAGUGGCGAACGGGUGAGUAACGCGUAAUCAACCUGCCCUUCAGAGGGGGACAACAGUUGGAAACGACUGCUAAUACCGCAUACUGAAGGAGGGGAUUGCGUCUGAUUGGCUAGUUGGAGGGGUAACGGCCCACCAAGGCGAUGAUCAGUAGCCGGUCUGGGAGGGCGACCGGCCAAAGUGGGACUGAGAUAAGGCCCAAAAUCAUACGGGGGGCAGCAGUGGGGAAUAUUGCACAAUGGGGGAAACCCGGAUGCAGCAACGCCGCGUGCGGGUUGACGGCCUUCGGGUUGUAAACCGCUUUCAGCCAUGACGCGGUAGUGGCAGAAGAAGCACCGGCUAACUACGUGCCAGCAGCCGCGGUAAUUC